UACGUAGGGGGCUAGCGUUGUCCGGAAUCAUUGGGCGUAAAGCGCGUGUAGGCGGUCCGGUAAGUCCGCUGUGAAAGUCGGGGGCUCAACCCUCGGAUGCCGGUGGAUACUGUCGGGCUUGAGUACGGAAGAGGCGAGUGGAAUUCCUGGUGUAGCGGUGAAAUGCGCAGAUAUCAGGAGGAACACCAAUUGCGAAGGCAGCUCGCUGGGACGUUACUGACGCUGAGGUGCGAAAGCGUGGGGAGCGAUCCGG
rnacentral:rRNA from 1 species